rnacentral:lncRNA from 1 species
AUAUUGUCCAGAUUUUCAUGAACUAGUUGGUACAUUAAAAAUGUUUUGGCUAGACUUUGGACUUAAGGAUUUCAUUUACUCACAAUUUUACUACAAUUGGUUCUUUGUUGGAGUUAGUUUAUUUAUAUCAAAGUUCAUAUAACAAUUUUUAUCUCCCCAUUGCAGCAAGUGAUCCAUUGCGUAUAAAAUAGCCCUGUUUUAUGUUUAAGAAUUAGCAUGUUUAUAAUUAAUCUCUAUCUAUAUGUUCAUAAUGCUACUCCCAUUGAAGUCUCUAAUGUGGAGUCUCUCUUUUUUUUUUUUUGUGGAUUGUCUUAGUAGUUGAUUUAAUUAAGUC